AUUGAACGCUGGCGGCAGGCCUAACACAUGCAAGUCGAGCGGACGAAGGGAGCGUGCGCUUGGAUGCAGCGGCGGACGGGCGGGUAAGUCCUACGAAUCUGCCCGGCAGUGGGGGAUAACGUCCGGAAACGGGCGCUAAUACCGCAUACGAUCAGAUGGAGAAAGGGGGGGAUCUUCGGAGCUCGAGCGAUUAGAUGAGCCUAGGAGGGAUUAGCUAGUUGGUAGGGUAAAGGCCUACCAAGGCGACGAUCCGUAACUGGUCUGAGAGGAUGAUCAGCCACACUGGAACUGAGACACGGUCCAGACUCCUACGGGAGGCAGCAGUGGGGAAUCUUCCACAAAGGGCGAAAGCCUGACCCAGCCAUGCCGCGUGUGUGAAGAAGGUCUUCGGAUUGUAAAGCUCUUUUAGUUGGGAAGAAGAGAAGUAUGUUAAUCCCUGGCUGUCUUGACGUUACCUACUCAAUAAGCCCCGGCUAACUUCGUG
rnacentral:rRNA from 1 species